rnacentral:tRNA from 1 species
CGGAGAGUAGUUCAGAUGGCUAGAACGCACGGUUUGGGACCGUGAGGUCGCAGGUUCAAGUCCUGUCUCUCCGAC